UAAUCCCUUCUUAGGGGCCCCACUUUUGUGACCUCACCUAAACCCAGUCACCUCCCAAAGGCCCUACCUCCUGAUUCCAUUGCGCUGGGGUUAGGGCUUCAGUGUAUGAAUUUAUGGGAGACACAAAAGUUCGGUCCCUAACAGGAGAGGAUUUGAAAGCUGGUGGAGUGAAGAUGCCAGAAUGUGGGCUAGAGGAAGUGAUAAGAGAGAAAGGGGGAGAGGAGGAUGUGGCUGCAGAAAGCUGGAGGCUCCAUCAGUCGAGCUUGGCAAUGCCCGGGAAAGACUUUCUGUCCUAGGACUCCAGAGGAAAACAUGAUUUUGAUGAAAAAAGAAAUUGAAGAUUAAAAGACCCA
ensembl:lncRNA